rnacentral:rRNA from 1 species
AGCGAACGCUGGCGGCAGGCUUAACACAUGCAAGUCGAACGGGCAUCUUCGGAUGUCCGUGGCAGCCGGGUGAGUAAACCGUGGGAACGUACGCUUCGGUUCGGAAUAAUUCAGGGGAACUUGAGCUAAUACCGGAUACGCACUCUUGGGGAAAGGUUUACUGCCGAAGGAUCGGCCCGCGUCUGAUUAGCUUGUUGGUGGGGUAACGGCCUACCAAGGCGACGAUCAGUGUCUGGUUUGGGAGGAUGAUCAGCCACACUGGGACUGAGACACGGCCCAGACUCCGACGGGAGGCAGCAGAGGGGAAUAGUGGACAAAGAGCGCAAGCCUGAUCCAGCCAUGCCGCGUGAGUAAUAAAGGCCUUAGUGUUGUAAAGCUCUUUUGGCCGAGACGAUAAUGACGGUACCGGAAGAAUAAGCCCCGGCUAACUUCGUG